rnacentral:rRNA from 1 species
UACGGAGGGUGCGAGCGUUGUCCGGAAUCAUUGGGCGUAAAGGGCGCGUAGGUGGCCCGGUCAGUUCGUGGUGAAAGCGCGGGCUCAACCCUGCGUCGGCCAUGAAUACUGCCGCGGCUGGAGCACUGUAGAGGCAGGCGGAAUUCCGGGGUGUAGCGGUGGAAUGCGUAGAGAUCCGGAAGAACACCGGUGGCGAAGGCGGCCGCUGGGCAUGGUCGCUGGACAGCU